rnacentral:tRNA from 1 species
GCCCCCGUAGCUCAGUCGGAUAGAGCAACAGAUUCCUAAUCUGGAGGUCGGAGGUUCAAAUCCUCUCGGGGGCACCA